UACGGAGGGGGCUAGCGUUGUUCGGAAUUACUGGGCGUAAAGGGCGUGUAGGCGGCCUGCCAAGUCAGAUGUGAAAGCCCCGGGCUUAACCUGGGAACUGCAUUUGAGACUGGCCGGCUCGAGGCUGGAAGAGGAGAGUGGAAUUCCCAGUGUAGAGGUGAAAUUCGUAGAUAUUGGGAAGAACACCGGUGGCGAAGGCGGCUCUCUGGUUCGCUCCUGACGCUGAGGUGCGAAAGCGUGGGGAGCAAACAGG
rnacentral:rRNA from 1 species